UGUUUUGUUAUCUGUCAUGGUAUUGUUGGAUGGUGUUUGUGGUGUUUGUGGUGGUGAUCGUCGUCGUGGCACUGGAGGUGGUUGUUGGUGGCAUUGGUUGGUGGUAUUUGUGGUGACAUUGGUUAGUGGUGUUUGUGGUGGUUAUCGAUGGUGUCAGUAUUCAUGGUGUUUAUGGCAUUGGUUGGUGGUGUUUGUGGUGGUGGUGACUGUUGGUGUGUCGUUAUUGGUGGUGUUUGUAAUGUAUUUUUUUUAAAUUUAUGCAUACAUCAAUUGUAAUGUAUUUUUUGUUUUUCUGUUGUUUGUAGGUAAAACAUGUCUCCCAAAAGAAAAGAAAGUGAAAGUGGAUCAACGUCUGAGAGAGAUUCGAAGGAGUUUCCUGAAUAUUCUCAGUCAGGAAAACAAAGUAAAGCUGAGGAGAGAUAUAAAAAAUAUUGAGAGAGGUGGACAAGGGUCUGUAGAUGCUGAUAAAGAAAAUAAAAGUGAGAAAGAGGAGAAAUUAGAGAGUGAGAAAAAGAAAGAUAAAGAGAAAGAGGAUGAUCAUCAACAUGAUGAUAACAGAUCACCAAUGGGGCGUGAAUUAAUAUCGACAUCCCAACAUGAUUCUGUCAAAACUUUUAGUAUUGACAAGUUUCAAGUUGCGAUGCCGAUAAAUGACAAAAAAAAUAUAAGAAGAACUAACUGGUGAA
rnacentral:lncRNA from 1 species